CACAGUUAUUUGUGUGGUCCUUGAAAGGCAAGAAGACUGGGGCCCGUGGCCCUGAAAGGGGAGGUGGGGCUCCCAGCAGAGGGGACUGAGGUCUUCAUAAACAAUGAGGGACCAGAGCAGAGGGAAGGAGGACGAGAUUCCAGACUCUAGUUCCAAACAAGGCACCUGUGAUUUCUCAUCCCCUGGGCAGCGACUGCCAGGCGCCGUUCAGCGGACACCUGGGACUUGCAGUGUUAUGUGCCCAGGGAUUUUCCUGGACGGGAUUGUGAAGUAGCGGACUAGAGAAGAAGACAGGAACCAGGAUGGGAAGACGGACAUGUUACAUUUUAAGCUGGAGCUUCCCCUGCAGUCCACGGAGCACGUUCUCGGUGUGCAGCUCAUCCUGACUUUCUCCUAUCGAUUACACA
rnacentral:lncRNA from 1 species